rnacentral:rRNA from 1 species
AGAGUUUGAUUCUGGCUCAGAACGAACGCUGGCGGCGUGGAUUAGGCAUGCAAGUCGAACGGGAAGCCGCGCGUUCAAUCUUUCGGGAGAGAACAUGCGGUGGAUAGUGGCGAAAGGGUGAGUAACGCGUGGGUAACCUACCUCUAAGACGGGGACAACCUUGCGAAAGCGGGGCUAAUACCGGAUAUGGUCGGUUUUCGCAUGGAAACAUGAUUGAAGGUGGGGACCUCUUCGGAGGCCUGCCGCUUGGAGAGGGGCCCGCGUCCCAUCAGCUUGUUGGUAAGGUAACGGCUUACCAAGGCUUACGGGUAGCUGGUCUGAGAGGAUGGUCAGCCACACUGGGACUGAGACACUGCCCAGACUCCUACGGGAGGCUGCAGUCGAGGAUCAUUCACAAUGCGCGAAAGCGUGAUGAUGCGACGCUGCGUGGAGGAUGAAGGCCCUCGGGUCGUAAACUCCUGUCAUUCGGGAAAAAUAGCAGGAAGGUCAAUAUCCUUUCUGUAUGAUGGUACCGAAAGAGGAAGCCACGGCUAACUCUGUGCCAGCAGCCGCGGUAAUACAGAGGUGGCAAGCGUUGUUCGGAUUUACUGGGCGUAAAGAGUGCGUAGGUGGCGUUGUAUGUCGGGCGUGAAAGCCCACUGCUCAACAGUGGAACUGCGUCCGAAACUGCAGUGCUAGAGUGCAGGAGGGGAGAGUGGAAUUCUUGGUGUAGCGGUGAAAUGUGUUGAUAUCAAGAAGAACACCGGUGGCGAAGGCGGCUCUCUGGAAUGUUACUGACACUGAGGCACGAAAGCUAGGGGAACAAACAGGAUUAGAUACCCUGGUAGUCCUAGCCGUAAACGGUGUACACUUGGUGUGGGGGGUAUUGACCCCCCCCGUGCCGGAGCUAACGCGUUAAGUGUACCGCCUGGGGAGUACGACCGCAAGGUUAAAACUCAAAGAAAUUGACGGGGGCCCGCACAAGCGGAGGAGCAUGUGGCUUAAUUCGAUGCAACGCGAAGAACCUUACCAGGGCUUGACAUGUAGUUGCACGCCCGCCGAAAGGUGGGAAGCCUUCGAGGGUACUACACAGGUGCUGCAUGGCUGUCGUCAGUUCGUGCCGUGAGGUGUUGGGUUAAGUCCCGCAACGAACGCAACCCCUGUGUUUAGUUGCUACCAUAGGUGAUGAGCCUAUGGGCACUCUAGACAGACUGCCCGUACAAGC